CAGCUUUUUGGUUAUAAACCCGUUGUUUUGGGCUUGAACUGCAGGCUUGGUCACCUGCGCUCUGCUGAAAAUAGAUCCAUCAGGAGUUAAUUAGGAUGAACUUCUGUGGGAUGAGUCCAAGCACCUCAAACAAGAAGCUGAACUAUUUGAGUAUGCUAAUGGAUUCAAAUGUUAAUCAAUACCCUAUCUUUGCCCUCCACCCUCUCUGCACUUAUCAGAGAAAUUGUGCCCAUAUCCCUACCCUGACAUCCCACCUCUGCUUCCAGCUGGCCCUGCUGUUCUUGUUGCCUGGAUACAAGUGGAGCAUGUGGAGGAAUGCUCCUGAGCUGCUGUGGGAUGGCCUCUUUAUCACAAGGAUUUAUCCACUGAUUAGCUGGGAAAAUGACUCAGCCUUCUGUGCAGACACCCGAAGGAAGCAGAGUUCGACUGGGCUGCUCCCACAAGGGGCCUUGCUCUCCUCUUCUUUCACACACUGAGCUGAGGCUUUCCUGCCAAUGUCAGCAGUCUACUGGAAAGAAUUAUCCGACUCCCAGGAGUGUUAAGCUCCAAGUGGAUUUAUGCACAUUGCUCAUAGAUUCCUUUGGGGUAUCUGAGCACCCUUUUCCCAGACCAGUAUUUUCUCCCAAAUUCUCUUUAACAAUGGGAAUAAAUGAGGACCAACCAAGGAGAGGAACUGUUGCAACAGAAAAUCUUGGACCAGGAUAUUUCCUCUUGUCUUCCCAAACAAAGACUGUGUUGAAGUCCAUGUUUACAGGACAACAGGGAUCACCCAGGCUCUUGCUCUCUUCAUUGCCCAUAUUAGCACAAUUUCCCAAUUUAAUGCCUUGGGGAAUGCUCAGAUAUCGUUGUACUGCAAGGAAAGUAACCCAGAACACUGUGUGAUCAAAAUAAUCAGUGAGGGUGUCUAUUUUCUGAAAUUUCCCUAAUCUAUGAGAAUUGCAACCAUUUACUGUCACUUUGAGAGCAGGAUGGUCAGAAGGCUUACAGAGCAGGGUGUUCCUGAAGUAUUUGUAGCGGAAAGGAAAUGCCCAUUUUCAUGGCUAGUGAGGAGAGAGUCCAUUCUGAUUCUUUCUCUACUGUUUGGCACUUCCCAGCAUAGAAGAAAAAAUUUACUUACCAAAAGUAAGAAGUACUAGUGAUUGAAAGUGACAAAAGUGUGUUUUCCAUAUUUUAUGCCACAUGCAUACAGGACCUCGGAUCAUACCAAAGUUAUUGUCUUAGCAGCUGAUAAAAAGUGUAUUUUUUAGACAUAUCAGUGGUAAGAAGCUCAUCCCUAGGUAACAAAGCACAAAUUUACCUGGUUCUUAUAUUUCAUCUUUGGGAAGGUUUACAAAAACUGAGUUUUUCCAAUGUGAUUUUCAUAUAAGGAGCAGUUAGGUGAAUGUGUUGGGCCUAUUUGUUUCUCUAUUUGUGUUUUUAAACAACAGUUUAAAAACACAUAUAGUAAAAAAUGCAUGUUAUGCAUUAUGAUACUUUAAAAGCUGCCACAAAUCCGUGUAAGAAAUUCUAUUGUUAUUCCAUAAAAAACAGCGCUGUUUAAAAUAAGUUAGACAAUGGAAGGCUUUCUCACAGAAACUCAUUACAUCACAGUCUGUUAAAAAUCAUGUUUUGCCUUGUAGUGUUUUCUCCUAAUUCUCAAAGCCAAGAGGACCAAUCGUAGGUGGGAUUUGUAUGAUUAUGCAAAAAGAGUAUUUAAGCAUUAGGAACUUUAAUUAUGCAGAAGCUUUUACUGAGGGAUUUUAAAUAAAAGAUUUGUGCACAUUAUAUUAUAAUGAGCAAAGUAAAGAUAUUUCUUGCACUUCUAUGAAAUAUUGCUGUAGUGAGGACAGGGCAAUUCAAUCAAUAACAAUACACGUUUUGGGUUUUUUAUUCCUCAGAUACCAGAAUUUGUCAAUCUCUGCUAGCUCCAUGUAACUUUUCAGAAUUUCUCAGAAAGACUGUGUGGUGUUUCCUUCAAUGCCUUAGGAGCCCUGACUACAGCAGGAGUGCUGAUGCAGACCUUAAAAUUUACAAAAGAAAAAACAUAUGAGAACAGAAGAGCAAAAGGAAAAGCACUGAAAUAAAUAAAAAAAUCGACAACAAAAUGGAUUUGCAAAAAAACACCACAGCUAAGACAGUGUCAGCCCUGGGAGUCGGCGCUGGGUGAACCUGGAUUCAUCU